rnacentral:rRNA from 1 species
UGCAGUCGAGCGGCAGCGACAACAUUGAUUCUUCGGAGGAUUUGUUGGGCGGCGAGCGGCGGACGGGUGAGUAAUGGCUGGGAACCUGCCCUGACGUGGGGGAUAACAGUUGGAAACGACUGCUAAUACCGCAUGAUGUCUUCGGACCAAAGAGGAGGACCUUCGGGCUUCUCGCGUCGGGAUGGGCCCAGUUGGGAUUAGCUAGUUGGUGAGGUAAUGGCUCACCAAGGCGACGAUCCCUAGCUGGUUUGAGAGGAUGAUCAGCCACACUGGAACUGAGACACGGUCCAGACUCCUACGGGAGGCAGCAGUGGGGAAUAUUGCACAAUGGGCGCAAGCCUGAUGCAGCCAUGCCGCGUGUGUGAAGAAGGCCUUCGGGUUGUAAAGCACUUUCAGCAGUGAGGAAGGCGUAGUGGUUAAUACCCGCUGCGCUUGACGUUAGCUGCAGAAGAAGCACCGGCUAACUCCGUGCCAGCAGCCGCGGUAAUACGGAGGGUGCGAGCGUUAAUCGGAAUUACUGGGCGUAAAGCGCAUGCAGGCGGUUUGUUAAGCAAGAUGUGAAAGCCCCGGGCUCAACCUGGGAACCGCAUUU